GUGAGGAAUUUUCCGCAAUGGGCGAAAGCCUGACGGAGCAAUGCCGCGUGAAGGAUGAAGGCCUAUGGGUUGUAAACUUCUUUUCUCAGAAAAGAAUUAUGACGGUAUCUGAGGAAUAAGCAUCGGCUAACUCUGUGCCAGCAGCCGCGGUAAGACAGAGGAUGCAAGCGUUAUCCGGAAUGCUUGGGCGUAAAGCGUCUGUAGGUUGUUUAAAAAGUAUUCUGUCAAAGAUUAGGGCUUAACCCUAGAUAGGCAGAAUAAACUUUUAAGCUAGAGUUUGUGAGAGGCAGAGGGAAUUCCCGGUGGAGCGGUGAAAUGCGUAGAUAUCGGGAGGAACACCAAAGGCGAAGGCACUCUGCUGGGCCAAUACUAACACUGAGAGACGAAAGCGAGGGGAGCAAAUGGGAUUAGAAACCCGAGUAGUCC
rnacentral:rRNA from 1 species